rnacentral:lncRNA from 1 species
AAACUAUCAAAGAUAGAGCGUGCAGCUCAGUCAUUUUACCACGUCCAUCUUCAGGACGAGAAGUCUUUAAACUUAGCCCCGGACAUGGUGUCGAGAGAGGAAACCUCUCAGCGUGACAAGGAACAGGUCCAGCAGGUGAAGGGGGUGCUGCAAGACUCUAUUGUGAUGCUUGAACAGCUGAAGAGUUCCCUUUCUAUGCUCCAGAGAAGCUUUGAUCACCUGAACAAGACCAAGCAUGGUGAGACUGAGAGUUAACCUUACAACGCCCACAACUCAAGAUGUCACGAGCAUGAAGAUGCUGUGUCUGUUUGGGGCUGAAGAUAUUUGACAUUCUGU